rnacentral:rRNA from 1 species
CCUACGGGAGGCAGCAGUGAGGAAUAUUGGUCAAUGGGCUUACGCCUGAACCAGCCAAGUCGCGUGAGGGAAGACUGCCCUAUGGGUUGUAAACCUCUUUUGUCGGGGAGCAAGGCCCGCCACGUGUGGCGGGAAGGAGAGUACCCGAAGAACAAGCAUCGGCUAACUCCGUGCCAGCAGCCGCGGUAAUACGGAGGAUGCGAGCGUUAUCCGGAUUUAUUGGGUUUAAAGGGUGCGUAGGCGGAAGGUUAAGUCAGCGGUAAAAUGUCGGUGCUCAACACCGGCCUGCCGUUGAAACUGGUCUUCUUGAGUGAGCGAGAAGUAUGCGGAAUGCGUGGUGUAGCGGUGAAAUGCAUAGAUAUCACGCAGAACUCCGAUUGCGAAGGCAGCAUACCGGCGCUCAACUGACGCUGAGGCACGAAAGCGUGGGGAUCGAACAGGAUUAGAUACCCGUGUAGUC